rnacentral:rRNA from 1 species
GACGAACGCUGGCGGCGUGCUUAACACAUGCAAGUCGAACGGAAAGGCCCUGCAUUUGUGGGGUGCUCGAGUGGCGAACGGGUGAGUAACACGUGAGUAACCUGCCCUUGACUUUGGUAUAACUUCAGGAAACUGGGGCUAAUAACGGAUAGGAUCUCCUGCUGCAUGGUGGGGGUUGGAAAGUUUCGGCGGUUGGGGAUGGACUCGCGGCUUAUCAGCUUGUUGGUGGGGUAGUGGCUUACCAAGGCUUUGACGGGUAGCCGGCCUGAGAGGGUGACCGGCAACAUUGGGACUGAGAUACGGCCCAGACUCCUACGGGAGGCAGGAGUGGGGAAUAUGGCACAAUGGGCGGAAGCGUGAUGCAGCAACGCCGCGUGCGGGAUGACGGCCUUCGGGUUGUAAACCGAUGUCGCCUGUGACGAAGCGUGAGUGACGGUAAUGGGUAAAGAAGCACCGGCUAACUACGUG